GUGGGGAAUAUUGCGCAAUGGGGGAAACCCUGACGCAGCAACGCCGCGUGAAGGAUGAAGGUUUUCGGAUUGUAAACUUCUUUGACGAGGGACGAAAGAAAUGACGGUACCUCGAAAACAAGCUCCGGCUAACUACGUGCCAGCAGCCGCGGUAAUACGUAGGGAGCGAGCGUUGUCCGGAUUUACUGGGUGUAAAGGGCGAGUAGGCGGGAUUGCAAGUCAGAUGUGAAAUCUAUCGGCUUAACUGAUAGACUGCAUUUGAAACUGCGGUUCUUGAGUGAUGGAGAGGCAGGCGGAAUUCCUAGUGUAGCGGUGAAAUGCGUAGAUAUUAGGAGGAACACCAGUGGCGAAGGCGGCCUGCUGGACAUUAACUGACGCUGAUGCGCGAAAGCGUGGGGAGCAAACAGGAUUAGAAACCCCGGUAGUCC
rnacentral:rRNA from 1 species